rnacentral:rRNA from 1 species
GCGAGACCACGCACAGUGCAGGCAUGUCCUCCGGGGAUGAUGGGGACACUGUUGGGACCGCCUCUGCUAAAGAGGAGGAAGGAAUGGGCAACGGUAGGUCAGCAUGCCCCGAAUUAUCCGGGCUACACGCGGGCUACAAUGGUCAGGACAAUGGGUAUCGACACCGAGAGGUGGAGGCAAUCUCCUAAACCUGUCCUUAGUUCGGAUUGUGGGCUGCAACUCGCCCACAUGAAGCUGGAAUCCGUAGUAAUCGCGUUCAAAUAGCGCGGUGAAUAUGUCCCUGCUCCUU